CACAGCAGCCAUAUCACCCUGUAACUCACAAUGGGCAGCCCACUGAAGCUCAGCAGGUGUGAGCCUGGUCAGUACCUGGAUGGGAGACCUCCUGGGAAAAACUAAGGUUGCUGCUGGAA
rnacentral:rRNA from 1 species